AUUGAACGCUGGCGGAAUGCUUUACACAUGCAAGUCGAGCGGCAGCGCGGGGGCAACCCUGGCGGCGAGCGGCGAACGGGUGAGUAACAUAUCGGAACGUACCCUGUCGUGGGGGAGUAACUAUCCGAAAGGAUAGCUAAUACCGCAUACGACCUGAGGGUGAAAGCGGGGGAGUCGCAAGACCUCGCGCGAUAGGAGCGACCGAUAUCGGAUUAGCUAGUUGGUGGGGUAAAGGCUCACCAAGGCGACGAUCCGUAGCUGGUCUGAGAGGACGACCAGCCACACUGGAACUGAGACACGGUCCAGACUCCUACGGGAGGCAGCAGUGGGGAAUUUUGGACAAUGGGGGCAACCCUGAUCCAGCCAUUCCGCGUGAGUGAAGAAGGCC
rnacentral:rRNA from 1 species